rnacentral:rRNA from 1 species
UACGAAGGGGGGUAGCGUUGUUCGGAAUCACUGGGCGUAAAGCGCACGCAGGCGGAUCGAUAAGUCGGGGGUGAAAGCCCGGGGCUCAACCUCGGAAUUGCCUUCGAUACUGGCGGUCUCGAGUCCGGGAGAGGUGAGUGGAAGUCCUAGUGUAGAGGUGAAAGUCGUAGAUAUUAGGAAGAACUCCAGUGGCGAAGGCGGCUCACUGGCCCGGUACUGACGCUCAGGUGCGAAAGCGUGGGGAGCAAACAGG